GAAUUCCAGGUGUAGCGGUGAAAUGCGUAGAGAUCUGGAGGAAUACCGGUGGCGAAGGCGGCCCCCUGGACAAAGACUGACGCUCAGGUGCGAAAGCGUGGGGAGCAAACAGGAUUAGAUACCCUGGUAGUCCACGCCGUAAACGAUGUCGAUUUGGAGGUUGUGCCCUUGAGGCGUGGCUUCCGGAGCUAACGCGUUAAAUCGACCGCCUGGGGAGUACGGCCGCAAGGUUAAAACUCAAAUGAAUUGACGGGGGCCCGCACAAGCGGUGGAGCAUGUGGUUUAAUUCGAUGCAACGCGAAGAACCUUACCUGGUCUUGACAUCCACAGAACUUUCCAGAGAUGGAUUGGUGCCUUCGGGAACUGUGAGACAGGUGCUGCAUGGCUGUCGUCAGCUCGUGUUGUGAAAUGUUGGGUUAAGUCCCGCAACGAGCGCAACCCUUAUCCUUUGUUGCCAGCGGUCCGGCCGGGAACUCAAAGGAGACUGCCAGUGAUAAACUGGAGGAAGGUGGGGAUGACGUCAAGUCAUCAUGGCCCUUACGACCAGGGCUACACACGUGCUACAAUGGCAUAUACAAAGAGAAGCGACCUCGCGAGAGCAAGCGGACCUCAUAAAGUAUGUCGUAGUCCGGAUUGGAGUCUGCAACUCGACUCCAUGAAGUCGGAAUCGCUAGUAAUCGUAGAUCAGAAUGCUACGGUGAAUACGUUCCCGGGCCUUGUACACACCGCCCGUCACACCAUGGGAGUGGGUUGCAAAAGAAGUAGGUAGCUUAACCUUCGGGAGGGCGCUUACCACUUUGUGAUUCAUGACUGGGGUGAAGUCGUAACAAGGUAACCGUAGGGGAACCUGCGGUUGGAUCACCUCCUUA
rnacentral:rRNA from 1 species